AUGGUGGGCUGCGGAACAUGUGCUGGCCUCGGGCCACAUGUCUGCCGACCAUCACCU
rnacentral:pre_miRNA from 1 species